rnacentral:tRNA from 1 species
CGGCGCACUGGCCGGCGCGUGGCUGUUCCACUUCGGCUGGAACUCCCCGCUGCUCGCCGACGGGUUCGGGUACGGCGGCCCGGGCGUGCUGGCC